AUCCAGCUGACUAGUCCCAAAUAGCACGAAACGCCCGUCUUGGAU
rnacentral:hammerhead_ribozyme from 1 species